GAUGAAGGAGGUGGGAAUCUACCGCUUCUAGAAUGCAAGCUUAUCCUUGACUUUUUUUUAUAGCUCUGAAAAAGGUUUUUGGAUGAAGUAAUCGGAGUGACAAAUGGUUAGGACUGAUGACUACACUGAGGACAAUGAUGAUAUAGGGCCAUUGGAUUAUUCAUUCGGAUACGAUACUGGUUAGUGUGAGGCUUCAUUCACAUCCUGGAUUUAUCGAGACCAGAAAGAGGAGGGCGGACUUGUAGUGACUCUUUUCAAGGCCUUGAAUUUAGAUUUUGUACUUAAUUGGCUAGAUUAGUUUAGUGUGGAUUGUCCGUCCCCUCUUCAACAUUUCUACUACUUCCUUGCCUCCCCCUUUUCAGGGAUCGAAGUCAAAGGAUGGGAACAAGUUCAGGGAACCGAGGGUCAGAACAUAUAGGUCUUAUUGGUUGGCAUGGCUUGAAGGCUAGAUCUAGUAUGAAGCGUUGAAGGCAAAGGCAAGACGAAUCGACCGCACCCCUAGGCCUUCUUCCCCUAAUUAGGUAAGUCUGGCUACUGAUUAGCAAGAUUCGCAGGGGAAGCGAAGUCACUAACUAGUCUUCAUGAGCUUGUAAGGAUCCCAUGCGUUGAUCAAUGUUCAAGGAAAGGAAUGAGGAAGGGUAAAAGAUGAAGAAGAGCUAUUCUUUUUAAGAGCGCGUUCACAGUCGACUCAAAAAGAGGGGUCACUCCCUGGCAUAAGCCAUGGCCUUCCGUUAACUGGUACCACUGUAUUCAUGAAUUUAAUUCACCGUGAAUGCAUGUACUUAGUGUUUUCUAUCAUUUAAAUUUUGAAUAUAGACUCAAUUUCUAUUAUUAUUAAGUAGUAUAAAUAAAAUGAAUCAAAUUUAAAUUACAUAAAUUUAAUUAUUCAUGAAUCUAUGAUCAAUAAGUCCAAUUAAUUGUAGAUGAAUGUAUUUAAAUUAUUCAUGAACUUAGUUAUCUAAUUUUUAUCUGCAAGGCUCUAGAAUUGUAACAUUUGGCAUGAUAAGUAAGCACUUUUUUUUACAAGGUAUUAUUUUGUGUUCAUAUUGGUUAGCUCUAGUUAUUCAAGCCUACCUAUCCUCCCUUUUAAAUUCUAAUUAAUAAUAAUAAAUAUAUUAUUAAAACCUGUUUCCCUAAACGUAUUAAGCUUUAUGUUGGAAUGCCAAAGGUAGCUCUUAAGUCAAUUAGAUCCCUUUUUCAUUGAAUUUGACAUUAUUCUUUGGUAUUCCUCAAUUCAAAACAAUGAAUCCCAUUUACUAACCACAAAGUUCCAGCCUUCAAUACAAGAGACUAUUUGUAUGACCAAAAAUAAUUUCUCAUUUUCUAUCACCCAAAAAAUGUCUCCCCUCCUAUCUGUUGAAAUUGGUAGUUUUAAAGAAAAAAACAAAAUUGAUCUCAGAAACAUACUGAGUUUGACAUUUUUCCUCAAAGAAAAGCUUUGCUUGGAGCUCAAAACAACAAAGGCUAGGAAAUCUCUUCAAUUUCAUCCACAAUGAAACUUUAC
rnacentral:lncRNA from 1 species